UAGUCCACACCGUAAACGUUGGGUGCUCGACGUAGUGGGUAUUGACCCCUGCUGUGUCCAAGCUAACGCAAGAAGCACCCCGCCUGGGGAGUACGGUCGCAAGGCUAAAACUCAAAGGAAUUGACGGGGGCCCGCACAAACGGUGGAGCAUGUGGUUUAAUUCGAAGCAACGCGCAGAACCUUUACCUGGGCUUGACAUCUACGGAACCUCUUCGAAAGUUUGAGGGUGCCUUCGGGAGCCGUAAGACAGGUGCUGCAUGGCUGUCGUCAGCUCGUGUCGUUGAGGUGUUCGGGUUAAGUCCCGCAACGAGCGCAACCCCUACCGUUAGUUGCCAUCAGUUCGGCUGGGCACUCUAGCGGGGACUGCCGGUGUUAAACCGGAGGAAGGUGGGGAUGACGUCAAGUCCUCAUGGCCUUUAUGUCCAGGGCUACUCACGUGUUACAAUGGUCGGUACAGAGGGUCGCCAACCCGCGAGGGGGAGCCAAUCCCACAAAGCCGGCCUCAGUUCGGAUUGGAGUCUGCAAUUCGACUCCAUGAA
rnacentral:rRNA from 1 species